rnacentral:rRNA from 1 species
GUAGGGAAUUUUCGGCAAUGGGGGGAACCCUGACCGAGCAACGCCGCGUGAAGGAAGAAGGAAUUCGUUCUGUAAACUUCUGUUAUAAAGGAAGAAAGACGGAUGGAGGAAAUGACAUCCGAGUGACGGUACUUUAUGAGAAAGCCACGGCUAACUACGUGCCAGCAGCCGCGGUAAUACGUAGGUGGCAAGCGUUAUCCGGAAUUAUUGGGCGUAAAGAGGGAGCAGGCGGCAGCAAAGGUCUGUGGUGAAAGACUGAAGCUUAACUUCAGUAAGCCAUAGAAACCGGGCAGCUAGAGUGCAGGAGAGGAUCGUGGAAUUCCAUGUGUAGCGGUGAAAUGCGUAGAUAUAUGGAGGAACACCAGUGGCGAAGGCGACGAUCUGGCCUGCAACUGACGCUCAGUCCCGAAAGCGUGGGGAGCAAAUAGG